UAGAGUAGAAGGUAUAGUCUCUGACAUUAGGAUUUAGCUCUCUCCAUACAUCUACUAAACCAGAUUAAUCACAAACGCUUCUGAGAGCUUUUGAGGCUCUACGAUUCGAGACUGGAGCAGUUAAUGAUUUAUUCAAUUUAUCCAAUGUCAAUAGUGUGCAAAGCUGUCAUCGAGGCAAAGAGUGGCUACUUUGAAGAAUCUCAAAUAUAAAAUAUAUUUGGAUUUAUUUAACACCUUUUUGGUUUUACUAUAUGAUUCCAUAUGUGUUAUUUCAUAGUUUUGAUGUCUUCACUAUUAUUCUACAAUGUAGAAAAUAGUACAAAUUAAGAAAAACCCUGGAAUGAGUAGGUGUGCCCAAACCUUUGACUGGUACUCUUAUUGGGUGCAUGGACUGCUCAAAUAAAAGUUACUCACGUUCCCAUCCAUCAACUGGCCAUGUGUGCACCCUAAUAACAUAACUAGCAGCCUUCACGAAUCUGGGUUCUGUGCCGCUGUUGAGUGGAUACUGUCCCGGUAGAAGGUGAGCGGACUAGGUGUAGUAAAAUGUGUGGCUAGCCCCCUGGGAAGUAAUGUAAUCCUGAAUUUAGCCAGGUGUAUCAGGCCAAAUCUGACUCCUGCCUUGUGAAGGUGGGCUUUUACAUCUUUACAUGCAGCUCUGGGAAGUCUGGGAAGAUUUGGAUCCGCUUGUCAUUGUAGUUCAACUGUCCUCUUUCGUGGGAUGUCUAAAUCAUUUUCUCUUUGGUCUGGAAGUAAUGUAAGUGGAGCAGAAUUACUCUGGAAGGGCGACCGGGCUGUGGUUUUGCUGCUAGAGUGCGAUGAGCCCUGUUGAUGACAGGGCCUGUCAAACGUUUCUCUGCCGAUGACGUCUUGCAGGAAAGAGGCCAUGAACUCGGUUCCAGACAUAUCCAACAAUGCCACCCAAAUGUUGCUAGAGCCAGUAGGUGUGCAGAUGGUGUUCAACUACACAAACUUGGAUGCAGCGCAUCAGUAAUAUUAACAAGAAUGAAGCAAAGCACUGGCCUUUUUCAAACACAAUUUCCAUACAGCUUUGGUAUUGUUUUAUGUAUUGUUGAGCUGCCUUAUUUAAUCUGCUUUAUGUAUUUAUGUGUUAUGUGUAUUUCAUAACAAUGUUUGUCUGUCACCAGCUGGCUGGUAAUGGGUGGAUUAGGUGGUUUAUUAUCGCUAAGCGCAAGACACAACUGAGUGAACCAAGGGUGUUGGACAGGGUGUUGGACAGUGUCUGAUUUGGUCCACCAUAAGCAUUUUUAGUUAAGGUUAGGGAUAGGGUUUGGGUUGUAACCCUUUCCCUAAUUCUAGCUUCAUGCCCACAUCCCGGUUCAACCCUAACCUUAGCUUCAACCACAACUCUAACCCUAGCUUUAUGUAUGUAUGUACAGUAUGUAUGUGUUUAAUAAGGAUGAUGUCAACUGCUGUCUUCUGUGUGGUAGUGGUAUACUGAGACAACUUGCUAGAACAUGUUCUAGAAAGUUGCAAAGAGGUGCGGAUCAGGCAGGCGAAUUGGCUUUUGCUUUUCAACCUUUUCAUCCAAAACCAACCAACACAGACACGUGGGCAUGCGCACGCACACACACACACUAAGAUCUGCAAUGCCAGCUGAUGUAAUUACCUUCAGGCCCUUGUUGAUUGCUGGACAACUUUCUACUCUAUGACCAUUGAUCUGCAUGGUGCCAGUCAGCCAUAGAUGAGGUUGAUAUUCCAUUUGAAGUUCAGUUGUAUGUUUCCCGCUUCCUGAAGUUUCUGGUAUGCUCUCCACUAGCUCUUCUCAGUGUUAGUUUUUUUUCAAUCACUCUGGCUCAUUUUUCAGAUGUAAGUAAUAUAUUUCCAAAAUUAAGUACAAAACUUUAAACUGAUAACACUUUUAUGGCCCCUAUCUUAUGUUCAGAACCUUUGAUUGUGCAUUCAUUGGAGUUUCACACAUAUUCCACCCCGGACUCAUUCAUCCAAAAUCCGAGUGUUCUGUUAAAUACCAUGAGCAAUCUUUGUUUAUUCACGAAUACAUAGGAUAAUGAAAGGCUCACCAUUUAGUCAUUUGAACCACGUAGUUUUUUUUUCAAUUGCUAACAAGCAUCAGUCAAGACUGAAGUCACUUUUUCAAAACUCUUCAGUUUGCAUUACCAACAUGCAUCUUGGCCCAACAGUUAAUCUCACCUCAAACCACUUCAUACGUCUCAAAAUAAACUUGUUCGACCAUAACACUGGCAACAACUCCCAAUCAGAAAGCAUACAUUGUCACUCAUAACACACUGAACUAAAAAUCCCAAACAGGGAGCCUUACAUAAAUUAUGAACUUCUCUUUGAGGUUUGAAUGAUUUUUCACAUGAAUCAUUAUAGAAUAAGAACACCUCACUUUAUUGACUGUACUAAAGUAUAUGUAACAAGAAUUCAUCAGAAAUGCAGCAAUUUGCUUCAAUAGCCUUUCUAUAUAUUUUGUGGUCAACCAUGGGGUGUUGGGUUGAGUAUGCAGAGAUUAACACAGAGACAGGGAGGUUUUAGUCCGUAAACAACUUCACUAGGACAUAAAAUAAACAUAACAAAGAAAAUCACGUAAGUUUGGCUCAGUCCUUCUUCUCAGCUUUUGCUCUGUGUCGGUCUCUCCCUCUGUGUCGGUCCUACUCAGCGGUGUGCCACAGUGGUCCUUUUAUUUGGUGUCCACGGCUGGUUGGCACUUUCCCCUAAUUACCUCCACUUGGCGCUAUCCGUGUUGGGAUGCCCAGCUCAUGUACUCCCAGCAGAGGGAGACAACGUCGCAUCACGUACCUCCCAUCUAUUACCAUCCUCCUGAGUAGACCUCCUCAAAGUGUGGUCACUUUGCAUAUAGUAAUGUACUUGUGAAAAAUACAAUUUUGAAACAAAAAACGAAUUCCUGAAAUUCCAGGGCUGCAAUAAUUACAACAACAAAAAACAACUACAUGUAUAGUAUAAUCAAUAAAAAUGUACAGUAAUGUGAGGGUUCUAGUUCUCCCUCUCUCCUGCAUUUGACCACAAGUUCUCAUCAACAUCACAUCAUGUGUCUUCUCUGGCGAUGCAU
rnacentral:lncRNA from 13 species